UACGGGGGGGGCAAGCGUUGUUCGGAAUUACUGGGCGUAAAGGGCUCGUAGGCGGCCAACUAAGUCGGACGUGAAAUCCCUCGGCUUAACCGGGGAACUGCUUCCGAUACUGGAUGGCUUGAGGUUGGGAGAGGGAUGCGGAAUUCCAGGUGUAGCGGUGAAAUGCGUAGAUAUCUGGAGGAACACCGGUGGCGAAGGCGGCAUCCUGGACCAAUUCUGACGCUGAGUGAGCGAAAGCCAGGGGAGCAAACGGG
rnacentral:rRNA from 1 species